AUCAGGUAGGACUACCCGCUGAACUUAAGCA
rnacentral:rRNA from 2 species